UCCUCCCUACCCUAGUCUCCGCAAUGAAAAAAAGCCACCCCUAGUGCAUGGCGUAAUGUAACUGCUAAACCCUAGGACUAGGGUCUAAUGAAUUAUAGAAGUAGGUGGUCUAUGUUACCAUGGAAACACAGGGUCUGGGGAGCUCAGUCGUUGAGAGGACAUGUUCCCUCAUAAACAGACAGCGUCUUACGACAGGUGCCAUAUUGGAAAUGCAAAAAUGACAUUAUCUAACUUAUCGUACUGGCAGGCUCAAAAUAAAACCCUCAGCAGCGAGGCAAUAAACCGGAAGAUACAGCGGAAACUGUCCAUCUGGCCAGAGGAGGAGCCAGAUGCUGGGGAUUUAGAGGCUGAUUUGGUCCUGCAGUUUGACCCACCCCUCCCCCUUUACACUGACCCUUUCAGCUGACCACACCCCUCCCCCCAGGGGCCAGCUGCCGGCUGCACCAGACCAGCCCAGAUGUUCAUCUGGAGACACUCAUCUGGCUUUGACCACAGAUUUCACCAUCAGUUGACUGACAAAACACAUGUAGAGAUUCAGCCGGGGCAGAGUAAGUAGCCAAAAUGUCUGGCCAAUGUCAGUGCCAAAAGUGUGAAUAUCUGCAUCACAUGGGACAACAAACAUACAUUAAGAGAAAGCAACUGAGCCGUUGAAGAGUGGAAUGCAAUGCGGCUGAUCGAUACUACCGCCAACAGUAUUGUCAGUCCACAUCAGGCGAUACAUCACUUACUAACCUCUUCACUGUACUAAUCUCUGUAGAUUACGGCAACAGACAAAGCUAUUAGGACGUUAUUCUUUACAGUACCCUUGUGUCGGUGCAAAAGGCGUUGACGUUACAGCUCCCACACAAUGCUGUUUUAAUCUAUGUUCGACAUGAAGAAAAAAGAAAAGUGAAAGCGUUUGUAUUAUUGAACAAGCUGUGAUGUUCAAACUGAGAAAAGACAACAUUUUUGAUAUAUUAUAGAAAUUACACUGCAAUAGGACUAGAACAGUGAUGAGCAGAAUCCCUACAUCUGUGAUGACGGAAUACUUCAGAGAGCUCCCUUUUUACCACCAUGAUCCCGUAAACUUCUCAAGUAAAGGUUUGGACAGAAAUAACUUCCUCCUCCACCACCCCGAAAAAGGAAAAACAUACGUGGUGAGAAAGAAUCUAGAACGAGAGAGAGCGAUAUAGAGAUAGAAAGAAAGCAAUAGAAAGAGAGAGAGUAGGUGAAAUCUCACCACAAAAUGUCAAAACACCCUACCGACUAUAUAGACCGGAGACUGAAAAGGCACUGUUGAGGUACUAAACUAGCAGGAAAUAGCUGCUCGAACGCCAACACGACAGCCCCCCCCACUGACCAACAGAAGCCCUCCACGGCCCCUCAGGGGGUGAGUGUUUGUUUAAUCUCCGUUGUUUCUGGUACGGUAUGGGUGGUAUGGAUAAACGCUCGGUAAAAAGAAACAUUGAUAUUCAGUAAAAAUCUGCACGGACAACGAGAAACCAAUGACUCAUGCAUUUGACAUGGUCUGUCCUGUAUGGCACACUGUUGGUUGGAACGGCUAGUAGCGAUAUCACACGUGUCAGACCCGUGGUCAGACCGCGGCAGUGACAGAAAUGGAAUUAACACGGCGCUCACACUUUUUCCCUACGUUCUGUUACCAUCCCUCCUAAUCUCCCUGGCAUUAUGUCCUUGCAUUAUUGAUUUGCCUUUUUCUCUUUCUCUACAGUCAUUUGGUUCUGAAGCAAGAGAGACAGGCGGGGACUUGUCAGGCUGAAUGGCCCCAAAGCACUCAGACAUUAAGCCCUUCAAACAUCCAGAGGGACUGCCUCUGGUGCUGGCUGCACCUCUUGUGACCAACGUAAUGAGUUGAAACGAAUCGCACAUGAAUCAAAUCUGUCAAAAGGACUUAUUUUGGUGUUUGUCUUUUUGGUAUUCAUUUACUGGUUGUAACCAGGGAGCCAGAAGAAUACUUGUUAAGCUCCUCUUUAUGAUCCUUCCACUCAAAUAAAUGAGCUUGAAUCAAACGAGGCAUGUACAAUCCUGGUGAGGGCUGCAUUAUCGCAAUUAAUAAAGUAAAGAGUGUCCACUUGUGUGGAAAUAUUUAAAUUCAGAUUAGGAUUGAGAUUUCAGAAUGGCACUACAAUCGUCUUUACGUUUGUCUGUUUGUGACCCACACUGUGCAUCACUACACAAGUUGUCUUGGAUGAGUAGGAACUUCCUGUCACUGGUCCUGAGCCACAGUCCCACACAGUAGUGAGAUUAGACCCUAAUCCUGGAUUUCUCCAAUCCCAGUUUAGUGACCAAACAGGGGACAGAGUACAGCCGUAAACCAGUUGUCCACUCACUGAUAAUACCACAAUAUUCUUACUUUACAUUUUAUUUUGUUUCUUUUUUUUUUUUUUUUUUAUUCGCAUUAAGAAUUACACUCCUAAAAGGCAUUUAAUUCAAAUCUCAAAGCGCUAUAAAAGUUUAAUGGAUUAUUAUUAUUAUGAUAAACCAGUGGUCACCAAUAACAUCACAUCUGGGGUUUAGACAUUCAGAGAAAUAAGGCCAAGCCAGUUUAGACAGGAAACUGUGUCACAGGGCAUCAGAUGAGCACCAACCACAUUUUCAGUUUUCCUCAUAAUGACAGCCUAUUUAAUUUGGCCAUUGUUACACACAGAAACACACACACACACACUCACACAACCUGAUUGUUGGCACUUUCAAGCUACAUGCUGAAUUUCCUUUCUAAUACUGUUUGUAACAUUUGUUAUAAGCUAUGCCAGUCUGAAUCUCCAAGCCCCUAAAGACCCCAGCCCGCUCCCCAAGAUCCCAG
ensembl:lncRNA